CGCCGUGACAGUGAUGACCACAAGCUGUUUGCACAUUUGCCGACCCUGCGUGAGUGACCCACAGGAAUCUAAGAACACCAGCUGAUG
rfam:Trypanosoma cruzi marinkellei strain B7 TcMARK_CONTIG_1891, whole genome shotgun sequence.